GAGUGUGCUUCCACCACUCUCAUGAACUUUUUCUCUCAUUUUUCUUCUUUCGACUUUAUAAACUUUUUUUCGUUUCAACUUUGUGUAUUAUUAGUUUGAUUCAGUCUUUUUGAACUUCUUCUUUGGAUAAUGGAAAUUUGACUAGGAGAUGAUCCAUCUUAUAUCAAAGUGAAGUCUCCUUUUUAUUUUUCUUUUGGCUUUUUCCCUCGGCAACGUUAACGAAUAUUUUUCUUUUAGCUUUUAUCGUUUAUCAUUGUGAUUUUUGAAGUAAUUAAACAUUACAUCUAUAUAUCGCUUUUAGUGUUCUAUCCUUUAUAGUCAAAAUGUGUCCCAUCUUGCCUGUUAGGGAAUAUGGAGUAAUAGAUGGUGAGUGGACUUAAUCUUUAUCUUACAUAUAUAUGAUCAAAACCCUUCUUAUAUCUAUAGAUUCUGAACUGUCUUCCAAAUGGCU